rnacentral:rRNA from 1 species
AGAGUUUGAUCAUGGCUCAGAUUGAACGCUGGCGGAAUGCUUUACACAUGCAAGUCGAACGGCAGCAUAGGUGCUUGCACCUGAUGGCGAGUGGCGAACGGGUGAGUAAUACAUCGGAACGUGCCCAGUCGUGGGGGAUAACGUAGCGAAAGUUACGCUAAUACCGCAUACGAUCUACGGAUGAAAGCGGGGGACCGUAAGGCCUCGCGCGAUUGGAGCGGCCGAUGUUAGAUUAGGUAGUUGGUGGGGUAAAGGCUCACCAAGCCGACGAUCUAUAGCUGGUCUGAGAGGAUGAUCAGCCACACUGGGACUGAGACACGGCCCAGACUCCUACGGGAGGCAGCAGUGGGGAAUUUUGGACAAUGGGCGCAAGCCUGAUCCAGCCAUUCCGCGUGCAGGACGAAGGCCUUCGGGUUGUAAACUGCUUUUGUACAGAACGAAAAGCUCUGGGUUAAUACCCUGGGGUCAUGACGGUACUGUAAGAAUAAGCACCGGCUAACUACGUAAGAGCAGCCGCGGUAAU